UGGCCAGGUUGUGCACUGCACAACUCUAGAAGGUACCAGUCACAGUGUGAUCUAUGUGCAUGGUGCCCUCUAGAAUUGUGUAGUGCACAAGCUGCAC
rnacentral:pre_miRNA from 10 species